ACGGGAGGCAGCAGUGAGGAAUAUUGGUCAAUGGGCGGAAGCCUGAACCAGCCAAGUCGCGUGAGGGAAGACGGCCCUACGGGUUGUAAACCUCUUCUGCGCGGGGGUAAAGUCGGGGACGGGUCCCCGAUUGCAAGUACCGCGCGAAAAAGGAUCGGCUAACUCCGUGCCAGCAGCCGCGGUAAUACGGAGGAUCCGAGUGUUAUCCGGAUUUAUUGGGUUUAAAGGGUGCGCAGGCGGCACGUUAAGUCAGCGGUGAAAUGUCGGGGCUCAACCCGGGCACUGCCGUUGAAACUGGCGAGCUUGAGUACGGAUGAAGUCGGCGGAAUGUGAUGUGUAGCGGUGAAAUGCUUAGAUAUGUCACAGAACACCGAUUGCGAAGGCAGCUGACUAAUCCGCAACUGACGCUCAGGCACGAAAGCGUGGGGAUCGAACAGGAUUAGAUACCCUGGUA
rnacentral:rRNA from 1 species